UGGGGAAUUUUGGACAAUGGGGGAAACCCUGAUGCAGCGACGCCGCGUGCGGGAUGAAGGCCUUCGGGUUGUAAACCGCUUUCAGCAGGGACGAAGCGAGAGUGACGGUACCCGCAGAAGAAGCGCCGGCUAACUACGUGCCAGCAGCCGCGGUAAUACGUAGGGCGCAAGCGUUGUCCGGAAUUAUUGGGCGUAAAGAGCUCGUAGGCGGCCUGUCACGUCCGCUGUGAAAUCCCAGGGCUUAACCCUGGGCCUGCAGUGGAUACGGGCUGGCUGAAGGCAGGCAGGGGAGAACGGAAUUCCCGGUGUAGCGGUGAAAUGCGCAGAUAUCGGGAGGAACACCUGUGGCGAAAGCGGCGCACUGGACCACUUCUGACGCUGAGGCGCGAAAGCUAGGGGAGCAAACAGGAUUAGAUACCCUGGUAGUCCUAGCCCUAAACGAUGAUUGCUUGGUGUGAUCGGUACCCAAUCCGAUCGUGCCGAAGCUAACGCGAUAAGCAAUCCGCCUGGGGAGUACGGUCGCAAGGCUG
rnacentral:rRNA from 1 species